rnacentral:rRNA from 1 species
GAUGAACGCUGGCGGCGUGCCUAAUACAUGCAAGUCGAGCGAACAGACGAGGAGCUUGCUCCUCUGACGUUAGCGGCGGGCGGGUGAGUAACACGUGGAUAACCUACCUAUAAGACUGGGAUAACUUCGGGAAACCGGAGCUAAUACCGGAUAAUAUAUUGAACCGCAUGGUUCAAUAGUGAAAGACGGUUUUGCUGUCACUUAUAGAUGGAUCCGCGCCUCAUUAGCUAGUUGGUAAGGUAACGGCUUACCAAGGCAACGAUGCGUAGCCGACCUGAGAGGGUGAUCGGCCACACUGGAACUGAGACACGGUCCAGACUCCUACGGGAGGCAGCAGUAGGGAAUCUUCCGCAAUGGGCGAAAGCCUGACGGAGCAACGCCGCGUGAGUGAUGAAGGUCUUCGGAUCGUAAAACUCUGUUAUUAGGGAAGAACAAAUGUGUAAGUAACUAUGCACGUCUUGACGGUACCUAAUCAGAAAGCCACGGCUAACUACGUG